rnacentral:tRNA from 1 species
GCUCGGUUAGCUCAGUUGGUUAGAGCGUCGUAUGUUGUUCUUAUCCCCUGUAAUAGAAAUGUCCACUAACCUACCCCAGGUACUAAUAAUGCGAAGGUCAUGAGUUCGACCCUCAUACUGAGCA